ACCCAAACAAAAGCCCCGGCCCCUCUGCGAACAGAGCGUUGGCCAGCGGGCCUGGCAGGGCCGGCGGCGGUCAGCAUUAGGUUUUCAGGACUUCAGGAGAGGGCUGGCUUCGGAACUGCUGCUCCGCACAGCACCAGAGUGGUGCUGAACUGUUGCUGAGAGGCACAAGCCCCCAGAACUCAGCUCCUGCUGAGUCUUGAGCGAAGUAGGAGGAAAGGACAAGUGACCCUGCUGCUCACGGAGGCAGGCCUCUCCUUUCAUGGAUGCUGCGAAUCUCUUAGCUCUGUCUGCAGAGUUCAGCGGUCCCACAGCUCCUCUCUGUCACGGCGGCAUGAUCUGCCUCUGCUGGGCUGGGAGCGCUCACGGAGUGCGGAGUUUGGUCAAAGGUGGGAAAAGCUGCAGUUCAGUAGUGGAAGAAACGGCUCGUGGUAAGAGUUGGUGCGUCUGAGGUGUCAGAAACUCCGCUAUUACAACAAAUGCCAUCCACGAGCAUUCAAGGAUUUAACACGACAGUCUCUGAAAUGGAGUAAAAAUCUUUUGGGUGGAAGAGAGUAUAAUUUUUUUUCCUAACUGGCUGUGGAACAAAGUUAUUCUUUCAGUGUUACCCCAUCUGCGCCUCGGGACAGCUAGCUGUCGCUCACACCUCCAGGCACACACAAAGUUUUAUUACGGUUUGAACUGCUGGAGAAAUAAUAGAAAUCAAGGAGUUAGAAUUCUGUGAAGAGAGCAGUAAUUGAUGGUGAUGUGUUGUGGAAGCACAUGCCUGAAAUGAUUGCCUAAGCAACGGAUAUGGAAAACCUAAGAAUAUUCACAACACAUCUUCCUUCUGGCUAGAUGAUGCUGAUAUCUGUAGUCUUACAGCAUGCUGUGUCCGUGUUGCCAAGCGGAUCAUUACCUUCAGUGUGAGCUCGUCCAUUAUACUCUGGCUACAGUCUGCGUUGUGACUGACAGAGACAGACCACGAAACUGCUAUAAUCAGCUAACAGAAUCACAAGACUGGACUACAGUCACAAAUGGAUACAAGCUUGGGAUUUAUAUUUAGCUAUAGUCAUAGUGCAGUUUGCAAUUUAGGGAGGGCAUACCUGAUCCAUCUUUAAAUGAGCUAAUCCUCCUAAUGGAAAAUUUCUAGUCACUACAACACUGUGCUUGGCACAAGUUAAUUUACUUUCUGCCAUCAUGGUGAGACUUGUUUCCAAGGUGCAUACGCAGGUUACUUUGUAGACACAUCCACCAUCUACUUAGGAAUCCUGUUUUUGUUUUGUGAACAUGCAAUUAUGUGCUAACCUUUAUGCAUGGCUAGCAAAAUGCAAGCCUUUUUGAAAGAAACAGUUAAGAAUUCAUUGCAUAGCAAGAAUGUGACACCUAGUGGAUAGAUGACAUUGAGGAAAUGUGACGGUCCCAUCAAGUAAUAUUGACAUUAAAUGACUCUAUCCAGUAGAACAAUUAAUUUGAUACCAAAAAAGACAUUGGUCUUGAAUGACUCUUUGCACAAGGCCAAGGUAAUUGGAUAAUGGCAAGUCCACACUGAAAGCUCAGAAGGGAAGAAGGUGUCAGAGUUUGUUUUAAAAGGAUUUUUUGUAAACCACUAGCAGAAUGGUUUACAUUCUGUCUAAAAUACAAAGACCAAAGCCCAUGAAGACAUUGUGGAUACUCAUGACAUACAUCAUAACUGGAGACUUCUGACAUGCAAAACACAAGAAUAAAGUGUGCCUAAAACCCC